GCCCGCGGGUAAUGGCUGAGGCGGCACAUGUGUCGAAGGUUGUCGGUGCGCGACACCAACAAGCUGGUGCGCUCCCCCAGCGGCCUGCGCAUGGUGCCCGUGCACCGCGUCUUCGGAAGCCCGUUAGGCCUGGCGGUGCCACCGUGGGUCCCAGACAAGGAGCAUCCAAGAUGUAUGCAGUGUGACGCCAAGCUUGGCUUUAUCACCAGAAAGCACCACUGUCGCCAUUGUGGGAGGUGCUUCUGCGACCGGUGCUGCAGCCAGAAGGUGCCACUGCGGCACAUGUGUUGCGCGGGCCCCGUGGGUCAGUGCGCAGAGUGCGCCCUGGUGUCCCACAAGGAGAUGGACUUCUAUGACGAGCAGCUCAAGGUACUCCUGAGCGGAGCCAACUUCCUCGUCACUUUUGGAAACUCAGAGAAAUCUGAAACCAUGACUUGUCUUUCUAACAACCGGAGUAACUUGUUUCUGGAUGGAGACAGCCACUAUGAGAUCGAAAUUGCACAUAUCUCAACCGCCCAGAUCCUCACGGAAGGCUAUCCUCCUGGAGGAGGCAACACACGGUGCCAGGGACAGAGGGUGUGGUCUAACUGAAGCUGACAGCCGGGGAGGACGCUAAUGCUGGCAGGAGGCAGGCAAUGGCGUGGCUGGCGGCCACGCACAAGGGCACCAAACUCCUACAGAUGUCGGGACCAUGUGGUGCAGGGCUUGGAGUACAUCUUGCCACCAGUUCCGAGUUGCUUGGAAUAGCAGGGUGA